rnacentral:rRNA from 1 species
AUGCAAGUCGAGCGGACAGAAGGGAGCUUGCUCCCGGAUGUUAGCGGCGGACGGGUGAGUAACACGUGGGUAACCUGCCUGUAAGACUGGGAUAACUCCGGGAAACCGGAGCUAAUACCGGAUAGUUCCUUGAACCGCAUGGUUCAAGGAUGAAAGACGGUUUCGGCUGUCACUUACAGAUGGACCCGCGGCGCAUUAGCUAGUUGGUGAGGUAACGGCUCACCAAGGCGACGAUGCGUAGCCGACCUGAGAGGGUGAUCGGCCACACUGGGACUGAGACACGGCCCAGACUCCUACGGGAGGCAGCAGUAGGGAAUCUUCCGCAAUGGACGAAAGUCUGACGGAGCAACGCCGCGUGAGUGAUGAAGGUUUUCGGAUCGUAAAGCUCUGUUGUUAGGGAAGAACAAGUGCAAGAGUAACUGCUUGCACCUUGACGGUACCUAACCAGAAAGCCACGGCUAACUACGUGCCAGCAGCCGCGGUAAUACGUAGGUGGCGAAGCGUUGUCCGGAAUUAUUGGGCGUAAAGGGCUCGCAGGCGGUUUCUUAAGUCUGAUGUGAAAGCCCCCGGCUCAACCGGGGGAGGGUCAUUGGAAACUGGGAAACUUGAGUGCAGAAGAGGAGAGU